GUCGAACGAGUUCUGAUUUAUUGAAAGGUGCUUGCAUCUUGAUUUAAUUUUGAACGAGUGGCGGACGGGUGAGUAACACGUGGGUAACCUGCCCUUAAGUGGGGGAUAACAUUUGGAAACAGAUGCUAAUACCGCAUAAAUCCAAGAACCGCAUGGUUCUUGGCUGAAAGAUGGCGUAAGCUAUCGCUUUUGGAUGGACCCGCGGCGUAUUAGCUAGUUGGUGAGGUAACGGCUCACCAAGGCAAUGAUACGUAGCCGAACUGAGAGGUUGAUCGGCCACAUUGGGACUGAGACACGGCCCAAACUCCUACGGGAGGCAGCAGUAGGGAAUCUUCCACAAUGGACGCAAGUCUGAUGGAGCAACGCCGCGUGAGUGAAGAAGGCUUUCGGGUCGUAAAACUCUGUUGUUGGAGAAGAAUGGUCGGCAGAGUAACUGUUGUCGGCGUGACGGUAUCCAACCAGAAAGCCACGGCUAACUACGUGCCAGCAGCCGCGGUAAUACGUAGGUGGCAAGCGUUAUCCGGAUUUAUUGGGCGUAAAGCGAGCGCAGGCGGUUUUUUAAGUCUGAUGUGAAAGCCCUCGGCUUAACCGAGGAAGUGCAUCGGAAACUGGGAAACUUGAGUGCAGAAGAGGACAGUGGAACUCCAUGUGUAGCGGUGAAAUGCGUAGAUAUAUGGAAGAACACCAGUGGCGAAGGCGGCUGUCUGGUCUGUAACUGACGCUGAGGCUCGAAAGCAUGGGUAGCGAACAGGAUUAGAUACCCUGGUAGUCCAUGCCGUAAACGAUGAAUGCUAGGUGUUGGAGGGUUUCCGCCCUUCAGUGCCGCAGCUAACGCAUUAAGCAUUCCGCCUGGGGAGUACGACCGCAAGGUUGAAACUCAAAGGAAUUGACGGGGGCCCGCACAAGCGGUGGAGCAUGUGGUUUAAUUCGAAGCAACGCGAAGAACCUUACCAGGUCUUGACAUCUUUUGAUCACCUGAGAGAUCAGGUUUCCCCUUCGGGGGCAAAAUGACAGGUGGUGCAUGGUUGUCGUCAGCUCGUGUCGUGAGAUGUUGGGUUAAGUCCCGCAACGAGCGCAACCCUUAUGACUAGUUGCCAGCAUUUAGUUGGGCACUCUAGUAAGACUGCCGGUGACAAACCGGAGGAAGGUGGGGAUGACGUCAAAUCAUCAUGCCCCUUAUGACCUGGGCUACACACGUGCUACAAUGGAUGGUACAACGAGUUGCGAGACCGCGAGGUCAAGCUAAUCUCUUAAAGCCAUUCUCAGUUCGGACUGUAGGCUGCAACUCGCCUACACGAAGUCGGAAUCGCUAGUAAUCGCGGAUCAGCACGCCGCGGUGAAUACGUUCCCGGGCCUUGUACACACCGCCCGUCACACCAUGAGAGUUUGUAACACCCGAAGCCGGUGGCGUAACCCUUUUAGGGAGCGAGCCGUCU
rnacentral:rRNA from 1 species